GUGAACUUCUGCUUGGUGCUGCUAGAACUCUGGCCCAUUGAGUUUCAGAAGCUGGAUGAGGACCAUGAGGAGGAGAAAAAGCAGCACCAGCAGUUGGUCACCAACAUGAAGUUCAUUGAGGAACUUUUGAAAUUGAAGAUGAUGGAGGAGACUGUGAUCCACAAUGUCAUCGCAAAGCUGCUCAUCACCCAGAGUGAGGUGGCACUCGAGCGUCUGUGCUGCUUACUGUCUACCUUUGGCAGCACCCUGGACUGUGAUGAGGUAUUUCACCAGUGAGGUCAUAUCCCUCACACAGAUACGCUUAUACACAGACACCCAAGCAGUCUAACUGUCCCCACUGCUUCCCAUUUCAGCAGUACCUUAUGGACGGAUAUAUCCAUCAGACCAAAAGGAAGGAGAUGGAGAGACAUUCCUGAACAGAAAGAUAACAACAUAGCAACAGAAAGAACGAGACAAAGACUGGAGAAAUUUGAUCUCCUCCAUCAGAUGGAGGAGAUCAUCACCACGAAGCAGAUCUCAUCUCAAGUCUCCCGCCUAAUGCAGGACAUAGUGGCCCUGAGAAAGGUAUUAGCCCAAUUUGACCAACCCCAAAUGGUGUGCCCCCGCCACCUCCUAUGGGAAAUACUCAGUGUUAUCUUCUUCAUACUCAAUCUCUAACCCACUCUCUCCAGCUCCAUUGCUCUUCCUUGUUGUGUUUCUCACACAGCUAAAAUGUCCCUCUCUUGUAAAUGGUUGGCAUUUAUAUAGCGCCUUUAUCCAAAGCGCUGUACAAUUGAUGCUUCUCAUUCACCCAUUCAUACACACAGUCACACACUGACACACUGACACACUGACGCCAAUUGGCUGCCAUGCAAGGCACCAACCAGCUCUUCAGGAGCAUUUAGGGGUUAGGUGUCUUGCUCAGGGACACUUCGACACAGCCGAGGCAGGGGAUCGAACCGGCAACCCUCCGACUGCCAGACAACUGCUCUUACUGCCUGAGCCAUGUCGCCCCUCUCUUGUCUGCUUCUCUCUGUUCCAAAAUUAUUGGUUCCCACUGGCAGCUGCUGACAGCAACUGAAAUCAGACACAGCAACAAUAAGCUGCAAAAGAACAGUAAAAAUAAAAAUAAUAAUAGUGUAAUUCUAUUUUGUGUCAAAUACUGCAUUUAUUUCUUCUUCAUUUGUAUUUUCUGUUAAUUUCAUCUGGCAGUUCUGCUUGGAGCUUUCAGAAUGUGACUUGUACCACACACUAAUAAAGCUGCAUGCCAAAUUU